AUUGAACGCUGGCGGCAGGCCUAACACAUGCAAGUCGAACGAGUGGCGGACGGGUGAGUAAUGUCUGGGCAACUGCCUGAGGGAGGGGGAUAACUACUGGAAACGGUAGCUAAUACCGCAUACACUCGGAUGUGCCCAGAUGGGAUUAGCUAGUAGGUGGGGUAAAGGCUCACCUAGGCGCCGAUCCCUAGCUGGUCUGAGAGGCUGACCAGCCACACUGGAACGGAUACACGCUCCAGACGCCUACGGGAGGCAGCAGUGGGGAUUAUUGCACAAUGGGCGCAAGCCUGAUGCAGCCAUGCCGCGUGUAUGAAGAAGGCCUUCGGGUUGUAAAGUACUUUCAGCGGGGAGGCGUUACCCGCAGAAGAAGCACCGGCGAACUCCGUGCCAGCAGCCGCGGUAAUAC
rnacentral:rRNA from 1 species